rnacentral:rRNA from 1 species
AGAGUUUGAUUCUGGCUCAGAACGAACGCUGGCGGCGUGGAUAAGACAUGCAAGUCGAACGAGAGAAUUGCUAGCUUGCUAAUAAUUCUCUAGUGGCGCACGGGUGAGUAACACGUGAGUAACCUGCCCCCGAGAGCGGGAUAGCCCUGGGAAACUGGGAUUAAUACCGCAUAGUAUCGAAAGAUUAAAGCAGCAAUGCGCUUGGGGAUGGGCUCGCGGCCUAUUAGUUAGUUGGUGAGGUAACGGCUCACCAAGGCGAUGACGGGUAGCCGGUCUGAGAGGAUGAACGGCCACACUGGAACUGAGACACGGUCCAGACUCCUACGGGUGGCAGCAGUCGAGAAUCAUUCACAAUGGGGGAAACCCUGAUGGUGCGACGCCGCGUGGGGGAAUGAAGGUCUUCGGAUUGUAAACCCCUGUCAUGUGGGAGCAAAUUAAAAAGAUAGUACCACAAGAGGAAGAGACGGCUAACUCUGUGCCAGCAGCCGCGGUAAUACAGAGGUCUCAAGCGUUGUUCGGAAUCACUGGGCGUAAAGCGUGCGUAGGCUGUUUCGUAAGUCGUGUGUGAAAGGCGCGGGCUCAACCCGCGGACGGCACAUGAUACUGCGAGACUAGAGUAAUGGAGGGGGAACCGGAAUUCUCGGUGUAGCAGUGAAAUGCGUAGAUAUCGAGAGGAACACUCGUGGCGAAGGCGGGUUCCUGGACAUUAACUGACGCUGAGGCACGAAGGCCAGGGGAGCGAAAGGGAUUAGAUACCCCUGUAGUCCUGGCAGUAAACGGUGCACGCUUGGUGUGCGGGG